AAUCUCAUCAAACUGCAAAUAUGAUUUGUGUCAAGACAAGAUUAUUGAAUGCCUGGCAAAGUAAUUACUCCUACACAGAGAAAAAUAAGAUCUUUCUUUUAACCACUUCAGGGAAAUUCAUCAAACUUGGCUGUACUCUGAAAAUGUGGUGGGGGUUUGAAAGUGAGGAGGUUUUCUUCAGCUUGUAGCUGUACUUAGUGCAGCUAAAAGAAACAAGACUUAGAAAAAUCAGCACAGACCCAAUUCUCAGCCUCUUAGUGUAAAGUGGCAAUAGGUCUUUUGCCCAAUUAACUCGUGCAGAGUCAGGCUCCUAGUUUAAAGGUAUGAAUGCUAGACAUUUUAUGGCUCUUGCUGAAUAUGUAAAAUGAAAUUAAGAAUAAUGAAUUUCCUCUAUGAACAUGAUUUUUAAUGGUUGGCGAAUCCUUGCAAAGUAAGUAAAUAAGGACCUUACCAGAAGUGCCACACUUUGAGGCUGCUGGAUGGCAUAUAUGGAUUUGCUUUUCUUAAUCACUUUCUUCAAACAUCUUCAAAGUGGAUACUCAGAUGACUAUAGGUUGACAUGGGAUAUGCUCAACAAGGAGCACCCAGAGUAUUUAAAGUUCAGCAAAGUAUUUUGUAAUACUCACUGGAAAUAGCAGCGAAGGUUUUGCCUCUGCUGGGAACCCAGAGUGUCUCUGUGCCAAUUCUGUGCAGGUUGGUCUUUACAACUAUGGAGGAUUUUGGAUGGCAAACAAGGCUGCAGAGCAGAUGUUUUAUGCGGGAGGCCACCCUGGUCAGCUCCCACUGUACUGUGCCAGAAAAAUCAGCAGAAAUUCAUGUUGCACUGUGAGCAACAUUCGCAUGUCACUGUGUCAUCUAGCUCCCAGAAGAGGAGUGUUACAUGAUGGUGAAAUAAGCAGAGAAAACUGGAUAGCGGCUGGACCAUAUGGUGAAGGGAGCGGCUCCCCAUUAAAGAAACAGAGAAAACAACAGAGCAUUGGAGAAGGACAGAGGGGAAAAGAGGAGCCAGGAUAAAAUGGAAGGGUCUGGAUGAUAGCUCCAGCUGAGAAGAUUUGUGAUUGUGCUGCAAGCAAGAAGGAAGGAAACCAGAGAGGAGUGGUGGGGGAAGGAGAUGCAUAGGAAGAGUAUCAAAGAGAAUGGAAAGCAAAUAAUCUCUAUGUGCAGCAAAAAAUUAUCGAGAUAAAAUAAAGCAAUGAAAGAAGAAUGGGAUUGGUUUGAUCUUGACCAUUGAGCAGCUGAUUGAAAAUUAUCUUUUUAGUCAGGUUUUAUCCUUCAGUCCUUGAAGAUUACUGAAUUAAAACAAGAAGAAAUGAGAGAAUGAGUAGCUCUAGGUUUAUACUUGCUUUUAAAUAAUAUGAAUAUUUUUACAUACUAAAGGAGGAAUUGAUGUCAAGCAUAUUAUAGCCUGCUAAGAUACACAAGAAUGGCUGAAAAUGUGUUGAAGGACAUGACACAGUCUUUGGGAAGAAACUGUCCUGCUUUUGGCAAAGCAGUUUCCAUCAGUGUCAGCCACCUCCUAACACAGCCUGAUGAGUUACUUGGACCAAAUUCUGUGUGGAAAAAGUGACACAGGAUAGCCAGGAAAUAACAGUGCUCCGGGACAUGGGAUCAGUCUAGAAAGGCAGCAGCUUGACAGUCAUCACAUCUGGUGGGUGGGCUGGAUGGAGUUUGUCUCUUCUUGGCUCAAAGCUGUUAGCAAGGUGAAAUCAGCAGGUGAAAGGAAACAUCUCUCACAUCCUCCCUGUGCACCUUUCCUCACCAAGGCUGACUUAAUGUCCCUGGUCCUUCACAGAGAAGAGCAGAAAUUUAUUUGAGUCAAAUGGAAAACAUGGUAUGAGUCACAAGUUUGUAGAGUAGUGUGUUUUUUAUGGGUUACAGUGGAGAGUUGAUGUGGUCUCCUGGGUGAUUUCUGAGAAUGCUGUCUAGCAAAGAUACUAUAAAGGAAAAAGAGCAGAAAUGCAUAUUUUCCUUUGUCUGCUUGUCUGUAAUCCCUUUUUCUAAGCAGAAAAUUGAUCAGAUGGUGUUUCUAGGUCUAGUUCCAUUACCGGUGUAGAAGGCCUCUCUUUUGGCUUUUUCCUGUAUUAUGUUGGAUGGAGGAAAGUAAUAAUAAAGAAUUCUGGAGACAUAUUUGGUAGUCUACAUUUUUCCAGAUAAUUAUCUGUACUCUGCCAAUGGUACUUGUAUUCAAAAGGGUUUGAGUCAGUAAGAAGUUGCACUGAAACUCGUGCAGGUAGGUGAGGAGUUAGAUGUUUCUUACUGUACGCAGAUGUGAUAGCCUCUGUCCCAUCUGAUGAGGAUCAUGAGAGAUGCAACUCCUCCCUUCCUCCCUCUUUCUAGGGUUGUGGUAAUCUGGAGUUUCCUGGUGAUUGUUAGAGCUGAAAAGCAUUUGCUAAUGCUAAGCCUGCACUAUUAACAGGGAACAAGGGGAGGAGAACAGAGACUUCCUGUAUUUGCUCAUUCCUGGCAAUCAUUACCUAUCUGCUGCUCCCAACUGUGACUCUUCCAGGUAAAUCACAGUCUGGACAUUCCAGUCCUGCCUAACCGAGUUUUAGUCACUCUGCUGCCCUGAUAUUACUGCAACAAAAUUGAGAGGAAGUGAGUGAGAAAGCCAUUUGGAAGAUUAGUCACUGUUUCAACAUAAUGGACAAGAGACCAUGCAGAAACUGACUGCUGGGAGAAUUCUGUUUAACUCACCGUGAAAAGAGGUUUCCACUGUUUGAAGAUGCAUAUUUGAUUUCUGACUCAAAACACUAUCCUUUCUGAAAACCACCAUACCAAACUUUUUACCAGUCUUUUAGAGUGUACUUACCAGUGCAUGUGUGGAAGUUUAGUAGAUGAAGAAUACCUCAUAGUUGGAGAAAUGCAGGACUAUGUAUAAAGAAAAAGAAAUGUGGAGGAAAACAUCAGUUUGCAUGCAAUAAACCACAGGCAUCCUCAUUUAUGUGCCAUCAGUAGUGAAACUCCCACUAGCUGAAAAACAAAUUAACAUGUUAUUGCCCAGGGUAUUAUUUAUAGCAAAAUUCUUGGUGACUAACUCUUUAUUUGGUCUGUCCUCAACAUUGUCCCUCACUUUUGGCAAGAACUUCCUGUGGAUGUUUUUUGGAUAGUACUUUCAGCCCGGUGUGGAAUAAGCAUUACUGUUCACAGAAAAUCAGCAGAAAGCAUGUGUGCAUUUUAAUAUCUACUUAUACACUAUGUCAAAGACACAAAUAAAACAUGAUGUUAGAGUA